rnacentral:rRNA from 1 species
CCUACGGGUGGCAGCAGUGGGGAAUAUUGCACAAUGGGGGAAAGCCUGAUCCAGCGACGCCGCGUGAGUGAAGAAGUCUUUCGGUAUGUAAAGCUCUAUUAGCAGGGACGAAAAUGACGGUACCUCACUCAGAAGCCCCGGCUAACUACGUGCCAGCAGCCGCGGGAAUACGUCGGGGGCAAGCGUUAUCCGGAUUUACUGGGUGUAAGGGGAGCGUAAACGGCAGCGCAAGUCUGGAGUGAAAUCCAAGGGCUUAACCAUGGAACUGCGUUGGAAACUGUGAAGCUGGAGUGCAGGAGAGGUAAGCGGAAUUCCUAGUGUAGCGGUGAAAGGCGUAGAUAUUAGGAGGAACACCAGUGGCGAAGGCGGCUUACUGGACUGUAACUGACGCUGAGGCGCGAAAGCGUGGGGAGCAAACAGGAUUAGAUACCCCAGUAGUC